CUGUGCACGGGUCCGGGUCCGGGUGGACGCUCAGGCUGUGGUUUCGCUGACCGAUAACUUCCUUACCCAUUGUACUUUGUGCUCGCGGUCCUAAUUCCUUACAUUUAACCGGGCGUGCCCGUGAAAUGCAAAUCGGACGCGAAUCAGCGUAGAUACCCCUGCGUGAGCCCAAGGAUCGAGCGGUGGGGUAAUUCCCAGAACUGGGGACUGACCGCUGAUCCCUACCACGAGAAGCGCCGACCUCGAAGGGGCUGAGGGGGGUUCGAAGCCCACCUCCUGCCUACCCCAGUCCCCUCCUGUCACCCUGCAGGGUCACCGCCAGGGCCGGUUCGCCCAUCGGGGAGGCAUUUUGCAGAGUUUGGGAUGUUAAUAUGUGGAGAUAAGGGGGAGGCAGUGUGUUACAGUUCCAUCGAGAGCAGUGCCGGGGAGAUGUCUAAUCUUACAAUCCUCUUACGUUCUUGGGAAAAAAAUGUUACCGUCUCUGUCUCCCUCUAUUUAAUUUAGUGGCCUUCGGGGACAAUUGCUCAGUCAUAGAAAGAUGAGUUUCAGAGACUGGAGCCCUGAUGCCACAAGCUUUCCUGCUUUUCCAAGCACUGGAGUCUGACAUAGAUGCAACGGAAUGGAGAAGGGGGCAGGAUUGGGGCAUUCCUGUGUCGGAAAAUCCAGCUAUUGAGCAUUUGGGCGGUUGCUCUCCCACUUCCAUGACUCACGAGCCGCUUCACCAGGAUGUGUGCCACAGGAGGCAGUGACUGGCCAAGGAGUCCAUGAAAGCAAGGAAACCAGGUUUUGCGCGACAAGCUGACUAAAGUGAUGCACCUUCACCUGCUUACAAGCAUUUACAUGUGACUUGAAGGAGGAUUUUCUUUUACAUUUUCCACUUCAGAAUUCCACUAUUUUGUUUAUUCAGCACAGGUUGUGAGGCUCAGGCCAUCUUUUGACUCUCUGUGGGAAGUUAUCUGUAUGUGGAGGGUGAAAAAGUGCAUUCACUUCUACUUGAAUUACCUGAAUCGUGUAAGUAAAGUCCUUCUUGGGCAGGGGCUGUAUGUGACCUCCUUCAGCUCCCUUUCCCAGGUUGACCAGAGGCAGAAGGGAGCAGAGGAGUGAUGGACUACAUCAGUGCAGGAGAGCAAGGUGGCCGCACAGCGCUUACAAAGAGUCUGGCAACAGAUCCAUGACCUGGCACCAGCCCAAGCCUGAGAGGCCAUGAAUCUCUUCUGCUCGCAGUGGAAAGCACUGCUACCACAGCAGAAAUCAGCUAUUGUAUUUGUGUGCAGGGGAGAGUAACACAGACAAAGAUCAAAGCCAAUUUACUGGUGCAAAGUUGGAUCCCAACAUUAACAAUAAAAAAAAAGGGUGUUUUGUUUUGUUAUAGACCAUCUUUUUUGUAUCUAUGACUUUCCAUUUAUACUAUUUCUUCUCUGAACUUCGUGAAUUCUUGUAUUUUUUAUUCUGUUUAUUGGUUUGUGAAAUCUGUAUGCAUGUGUGACUAUCUUACGGUGUAGUUUGCAUAUACUAUGUUGCAUGUGCCAAGAAGUACGCUGGUGGAAGUCUUUGAACAUGAAACACAUUUGAAGGGCCUGAGCUCGCACGAUGUUAGAUGUCUAAAGAUGAGGGAGUGCAGAAUCAGUGACCACUUUAAGAAAUUUAUUUCUCCUUACCAUAUCUCCUUCAUUAAGAGGAGACACUGUAGGAGACAAAUGAUGGGGUUUGUGUAAGCUAUUUUUCUUUAUUAGAGCCUUAGAGCCUUGCUGCUUCGAGUAUUUGGGAAGUGUUGCUUCUACUGAUGCUCAUUACUAUUGGGACUCUAAUGCAAAUAACCAGUGUCUGCCACAGUUAGGAUUUUUUCCGAAUAUUGUUCUUCUGACACGACGUAGUUUUUCAAAAGGAAUUUCUGUAAACCUUUUAAAAUACCGAAGUCUGAUUGCUUUGAAAUUUUAACAGUGUCAAAUAUUUCUUUGUGACUGGGGACAGUAAAAUGAAAGCUGAACAGGCACCUCUGCCCACACAAGCAAAAUUUUUUUUGCAUUUUCAAGUGUUUCUGCUGCUGGUUGCUAUUGAAACUUUGAAAAACCUUUCUAGUGCUUGAAGUGUGACACAAAGGAGGGACUGUUUCAUUUUUCUUUUUCAAAGGUGAGGAAAUUUCAAAAUUAUUGCAGGCAAUAAAAAGGAAAAUGAAAAGCAAAACUGGAACAAUUUUGAUAUUAUCGAUUUUACAGUGUCAGUGUGAAAAAGAAAGAGGGAAAAAAUGAGAAAGUCUCUUUCUGUAUGUAUCUUGACUUUGGUGAGUUUCACAUUUGAAUCUUUUUCGUGAAAGAUUCUGAUUUGCAAUAGUAGCAAUUUUUCUUUGAAAUCCAAAUCUUAAUUUUCAGAUAGUUAUGGGAAUAACUCUGGCUUGGUUUUUGGAAAAAAGAAUCCUUUCUAGAUAUGAAGUGAAAUGUCUUUUGCUAUCUAAAGAAUUCUGAAUUUGGACAGUUAAAUUAGAAAUAACUAAUAAUACAAUAAUUGAUUAUAUGUCUUUGACUCCAACAAUCACCCCUCCCUGAAUUAUGAGGGAAAAUUAUCUAAACUUGCUUGCUAGUAAUAACUACCUUGUGACUAUUCCUGUAAGCCAAGACCGUCAUCUGCAGACAUGAAUAAAGACUAUUAACAUUA